GAGUGGGAAGGGGACAGAAAGGGGACAUGGACAGACAGGAAGAAUGAGCAGCAGAAGCUGGAGGCAGGAUGAAGGAGAGACUUUAGAGCUAAAAUAUGUGUUUUUGURUUUUGUAUGCAGAUUGGGACUAAUUCAAUUAUUACUGAGGUGCAAGAUCCUGAAAGAUGGCGGCCCGUCCUGACUGGAGCUGCAGGAGGUCUCUUUCUGCUGAAGUUCCUCUUCAGUUCCUCACAAGCCUAAACAGGAACUACUGCAAAUAAAACUGAAGACUCAGUGUCAUUUAUUGGCUUUCUUAGUUUGAAAGUUUUGAUAGGCCUCAUUGUGGACUGAAUUCAAUAAAAGUGGAUUGUAACUGGAUUAAAUUAGAUAAUAAGAUGAAUUUUCAAUGAACAUGGUUCUUUUUUUUCCAAUGUGGUACAUUGAGAUUACUUUUGUUGUCAAUUUUCACUACACAAAUAAACUGAAUAAAAGCUGAUCUGAACUGUC